GUGAGGUAAUGGCUCAGCAAGGCAUGGAUGGGUAGCUGGUGUGAGAGGAUGAUCACACACAGUGGGAGUGAGACACGGCCCUGAUUCGUGCGGCAGCCAGCAGUGGGGAAUGUCACACAAUGGGAGAAAGCUUGAUGCAGCAACGCCGCGUGCGGGAAGAAGGCCGUAGGGUUGUAAACCGCUUUCAGCAGGGAAGAAAAUGGCGGUUCCUGUAGAAGAAGGCGCGGCCAAAUACGUGCCAGCAGGCGCGGUGACAAGUAGGCACCAAGCGUUGUUCGGAUUUUUUGGGGGUAAAGAGGUUGUAGGCGGUUCGGUAAGUUGGGUGUGAAAACUCUGGGCUCAACCCAGAGCCGCCACUCGAUUAUGGUCUGACUUGAGUGCGGUAGGGGAGCGGGGAAUUCCUGGUGUAGCGGUGAAAUGCGCAGAUAUCAGGAGGAACACCAGUGGCGAAGGCGCCGCUCUGGGCCGUGCCUGACGCUGAGGAGCGAAAGCGUGGGUAGCAAACAGGAUUAGAUACCCUGGUAGUCCGCGCCGUAAACGUUGGGCACUAGGUGUGGGCUUCAACCCACGAGAUCCGCGCCGUAGCUAACGCAUUAAGUG
rnacentral:rRNA from 1 species